ACUUGAAAGCGGUGGAUCACUCGGCUCGUGUGUCAAUGAAGAAUGCAGCUAGCUGCGAGAACUAAUGUGAAUUGCAGGACACACUGAUCAUUGACACUUCGAACACACCUUGUGGCCCCGGGUUCCUCCGGGUGCCACGCCUGUCUGAGGGUUG
rnacentral:rRNA from 1 species